rnacentral:rRNA from 1 species
UGGGGAAUAUUGCACAAUGGGCGAAAGCCUGAUGCAGCAACGCCGCGUGAGGGACGACGGCCUUCGGGUUGUAAACCUCUUUUAGCAAGGAAGAAGCGAAAGUGACGGUACUUGCAGAAAAAGCGCCGGCUAACUACGUGCCAGCAGCCGCGGUAAUACGUAGGGCGCAAGCGUUAUCCGGAAUUAUUGGGCGUAAAGAGCUCGUAGGCGGUUUGUCGCGUCUGCUGUGAAAACCCGAGGCUCAACCUCGGGCCUGCAGUGGGUACGGGCAGACUAGAGUGCGGUAGGGGAGAUUGGAACUCCUGGUGUAGCGGUGGAAUGCGCAGAUAUCAGGAAGAACACCGAUGGCGAAGGCAGAUCUCUGGGCCGUAACUGACGCUGAGGAGCGAAAGGGUGGGGAGCAAACAGGCUUAGAUACCCUGGUAGUCCACCCCGUAAACGUUGGGAACUAGUUGUGGGGUCCAUUCCACGGAUUCCGUGACGCAGCUAACGCAUUAAGUUCCCCGCCUGGGGAGUACGGCCGCAAGGCUAAAACUGCAAAUGAAUUGACGGGGUCAUAGCUGUUUCCU